AUUGAACGCUGGCGGGAGGCUUAACACAUGCAAGUCGAACGAGUGGCGGACGGGUGAGUAAUGUAUGGGAAACUGCCUGGUGGAGGGGGAUAACUACUGGAAAGGGUAGCUAAUACCGCAUACCAUCAGAUCUGCCCAGAUGGGAUUAGCUAGUUGGUGGGGUAAAGGCUCACCAAGGCGACGAUCCCUAGCUGGUCUGAGAGGAUGACCAGCCACACUGGGACUGAGACACGGCCCAGACUCCUACGGGAGGCAGCAGUGGGGAAUAUUGGACAAUGGGCGCAACCCUGAUGCAGCCAUGCCGCGUGUAUGAUGAAGGCCUUCGGGUUGUAAAGUACUUUCGGCAGAGAAGCGUUAUCCGCAGAAGAAGCACCGGCUAACUCCGUGCCAGCCGCCGCGGUAAUUC
rnacentral:rRNA from 1 species